rnacentral:lncRNA from 1 species
AAAACUAAAAUGACCAAAAUAGCACCUUUCUAAGUUUAUUCUUUGAAAAUUUUAAUCUUUUUAUUUUUCAAAAUUUGUAAUCUUAUCCCCAAAACCCCAUUUCUCAACUCUAAACCUAAACCCUAAACUCUAAACCCUAAACCCUAAACCGUAAACUCUAAACCCUAAACCCUAAACCCUAAACUCUAAACCCUAAACUAUAAACUCUAAACCCUAAACUCUAAACCCUAAACCCUAAAUCAUAAACCCCACCCUUUAACUCUAAACCCUAAGUUUAUGACUUUUGAUAAAACAUUAAGUGCUA